UUAAGUCGACCGCCUGGGGAGUACGGCCGCAAGGUUAAAACUCAAAUGAAUUGACGGGGGCCCGCACAAGCGGUGGAGCAUGUGGUUUAAUUCGAUGCAACGCGAAGAACCUUACCUGGUCUUGACAUCCACGGAAGUUUUCAGAGAUGAGAAUGUGCCUUCGGGAACCGUGAGACAGGUGCUGCAUGGCUGUCGUCAGCUCGUGUUGUGAAAUGUUGGGUUAAGUCCCGCAACGAGCGCAACCCUUAUCCUUUGUUGCCAGCGGUCCGGCCGGGAACUCAAAGGAGACUGCCA
rnacentral:rRNA from 1 species